rnacentral:rRNA from 1 species
CGCAGCCUGAUCAGCCAUGCCGCGUGAGUGAUGAAGGCCUUAGGGUUGUAAAGCUCUUUCACCCACGACGAUGAUGACUGUGGUGGGAGAAGAAGCCCCGGCUAACUUCGUGCCAACAGCCGCGGUAAUACUAAGGGGGCUAGCGUUGUUCGGAAUUACUGGGCGUAAAGCGCACGCAAGCGGUUCGGUCAGUCAGAAGUGAAAGCCCCGGGCUUAACCUGGGAACUGCUUUUGAUACUGCCCAGCUUGAAUCACGGAGAGGGUAGUGGAAUUCCGAGUGUAGAGGUGAAAUUCAUAUAUAUUCGGAAGAACACCAUUGGCGAAGGCGACUACCUGGCCGUCGAUUGACGCUCAUGUGCGAAAGCGUGGGGAGCAAACAGGAUUAGAUACCCUGGUAGUCCACGCCAUAAACGAUGAGUGCUAGUUGUUGGGGUGCAUGCACCUCAGUGACGCAGCUAACGCGUUAAGCACUCCGCCUGGGGAGUACGGCCGCAAGGUUAAAACUCAAAUGAAAUUGACGG